CACACUUAAAAAUGAGGAUCCUUAUGAGCAUUCAUGACUCCAUAUAGAACCUUUAACAUCCAUGGAAGCUUUCCAUUGAACAAAAGGUUCUAUACAGUGGAAAAAGUUUAUUUAGAUCAUUAAAAUGUUCUUCAC